GAUGAACGCUGGCGGCGUGCCUAAUACAUGCAAGUCGAGCGAACAGACGAGGAGCUUGCUCCUCUGACGUUAGCGGCGGACGGGUGAGUAACACGUGGAUAACCUACCUAUAAGACUGGGAUAACUUCGGGAAACCGGAGCUAAUACCGGAUAAUAUAUUGAACCGCAUGGUUCAAUAGUGAAAGACGGUUUUGCUGUCACUUAUAGAUGGAUCCGCGCCGCAUUAGCUAGUUGGUAAGGUAACGGCUUACCAAGGCAGCGAUGCGUAGCCGACCUGAGAGGGGGAGCGGCCACACGGGAAGUGAGACCCGGCCCAGAUCCCUAGGGGGGGCAGCAGGGGGGAAUCUCCGGAAAUGGGGGAAAGCUGGAGGGGGAAAGGCCGGGGGGGUGAUGAAGGCUUUGGGGUGUAAAAACGUUGUUUUUGGGGAAGAAAAAAUGUGAAAGUAACAAGGAACGUUUGGACGGUACCAAAGAAGAAAGCCACGGCUAACUACGG
rnacentral:rRNA from 1 species